AUGAUUACACUAAUUUACCUCUAAAUUACGAAAUUAAUUUUGAAAAAAACGUAGCUAUGCCUAAAAUUUGAAAAGAACAAGUAAUUGACAACACAAAAACAAAAAAAACAAAAGAGUUCCCUCCAGCUUUUUUCCCUCUAAAAUUUUAACCCUAAAUCAUAGCAUUCUUUUCCUAUUUUAAAGAGAUAAGAGACCCAAAACCCUAAAAGACUAAGCCCUCAAAAUAAAACAAAAAUGGCACCGUCAUCUUCUCCAUCUCACUUCCUGAUUUCAACUUUUGCUCUCGAGACAUAUACCUAAGGUACAGAAAAAAUAUGAUAAACUUCUUCUCAUGUUGAAGUUUUCAUGGAAUCUCGCAAGAGAAAAACAAGAAACACAAGUUGAUGCCUUUCAAUUAGAUGCCACUUUAAUUUUAAUGUGGCUUUCCUCUUUAUCUCCAUAAAAGUAUAUAUUUGCAUAUAUGUUUCAAUGGUUUUUUAUUGUAGGAUCAGUUUGAUCAAUUAAAAGAGCAGCAAGGAAAAGGAGAUUUUUUUUUUAAAUGAUGAUGAUAAAAAGGAUGGAUAUCUCCGUGCAUAUGACCUCGGAAAAAAUAUUAGUGAAUAUUUUGGUGGCCAACGAAGGUACAACUCAUAAAGCAAUCAGAAUUGAUCAGAAAAGCAACGAACAAGCGUGUGGAAGAAGUUAAAAGGGAAGCUGUGUAAAUUGAAGAAAUAAAGAAAGAAAAGGAAAUAAGAUAGCGGAUUUGAGUAAAUGAUGCGAAGAAAAAAUUCAAAUGAUGAUUGCAGCUCAAGAUUGACAAUUAAAUGAUGCAAAUCUAAUCCUUUUGGAGGAGUGACAGAAGCAUCAAAAUCAAUGAAGACAUGAAUAGUUAUUAUUUCUCUUGUAAAAGUAUAUUGAUAGUUUAAAAAGUGAUGUUUCACUAUUUUGAAUGAUAUUGUUGAAUAUUACAUUUUUUUCUUAAUAUUGUAUUUAUUACACAAUUGAAGAUAUUCUGCUACGAUUGUCUAUAAAUUUCA